rnacentral:rRNA from 1 species
UGCCAGCCGCCGCGGUAAUACGGAGGAGGUUAGCGUUGUUCGGAAUUACUGGGCGUAAAGCGCACGUAGUCGGAUUAGUCAGUCAGGGGUGAAAUCCCGAGGCUCAACCUCGGAACUGCCUUUGAUACUGCUAGUCUAGAGUUCGAGAGAGGUGAGUGGAAUUCCGAGUGUAGAGGUGAAAUUCGUAGAUAUUCGGAGGAACACCAGUGGCGAAGGCGCUCUGCUGGACAGUGACUGACGCUGAGGCACGAAAGCAUAGGUAGCAAACAGGAUUAGAUA